UACAGAGGGUGCAAGCGUUAAUCGGAAUUACUGGGCGUAAAGCGCGCGUAGGUGGUUUGUUAAGUUGGAUGUGAAAUCCCCGGGCUCAACCUGGGAACUGCAUUCAAAACUGACAAGCUAGAGUAUGGUAGAGGGUGGUGGAAUUUCCUGUGUAGCGGUGAAAUGCGUAGAUAUAGGAAGGAACACCAGUGGCGAAGGCGACCACCUGGACUGAUACUGACACUGAGGUGCGAAAGCGUGGGGAGCGAACGGG
rnacentral:rRNA from 1 species